rnacentral:tRNA from 12 species
GGCGGCAUGGCCAAGCGGUAAGGC